rnacentral:misc_RNA from 1 species
UGUAGGAGUGAGCCUGCUCGCGAUAGCGUUGUGUCAGUUAACUUAGAUGUCGGCUGACAUAACGCUAUCGCGAGCAGGCUCACUCCUACA